UACGUAGGGCGCGAGCGUUGUCCGGAAUCAUUGGGCGUAAAGAGCUCGUAGGCGGCCGGUUGCGUCUGCUGUGAAAUCCCGGGGCUUAACCCCGGGCGUGCAGUGGAUACGGGCUGGCUGGAGGCAGGCAGGGGAGAAUGGAAUUCCCGGUGUAGCGGUGAAAUGCGCAGAUAUCAGGAGGAACACCGGUGGCGAAGGCGGGUCUCUGGGCCGAAAUUGACGCUGAGGAGCGAAAGCGUGGGGAGCAAACAGG
rnacentral:rRNA from 1 species